rnacentral:rRNA from 1 species
UACGUAGGGUGCAAGCGUUGUCCGGAAUUAUUGGGGCGUAAAGAGCUCGUAGGCGGUUUUGUCGCGUCUGCUGUGAAAACUCGGGGCUUAACUCCGGGCCUGCAGUGGGUACGGGCAGACUAGAGUGCGGUAGGGGAGACUGGAAUUCCUGGUGUAGCGGUGAAAUGCGCAGAUAUCAGGAGGAACACCGGUGGCGAAGGCGGGUCUCUGGGCCGUAACUGACGCUGAGGAGCGAAAGCGUGGGGAGCGAACAGG